UAUGAAGCAGUUUGAAGAAAAUGUAUGUUUGUGGUGCGUAAGAUGUGGGGGGGGGCCACCUUCAUAA
rnacentral:tRNA from 1 species